rnacentral:rRNA from 1 species
CUGACGAGCACGCCGCGUGAGCGAUGAAGGCCUUCGGGUCGUAAAGCUCUGUUGUUAGGGAAGAACAAGUACCGGAGUAACUGCCGGUACCUUGACGGUACCUAACCAGAAAGCCACGGCUAACUACGUGCCAGCAGCCGCGGUAAUACGUAGGUGGCAAGCGUUGUCCGGAAUUAUUGGGCGUAAAGCGCGCGCAGGCGGUCCUUUAAGUCUGAUGUGAAAGCCCACGGCUCAACCGUGGAGGGUCAUUGGAAACUGGGGGACUUGAGUACAGAAGAGGAAAGCGGAAUUCCACGUGUAGCGGUGAAAUGCGUAGAGAUGUGGAGGAACACCAGUGGCGAAGGCGGCUUUCUGGUCUGUAACUGACGCUGAGGCGCGAAAGCGUGGGGAGCAAACA